rnacentral:rRNA from 1 species
UAGUCCACGCCGUAAACGAUGAAUGCUAGCUGUUAGCGAUAUACUGUUAGCGGCACAGAGAAAUCGUUAAGCAUUCCACCUGGGGAGUACGCCGGCAACGGUGAAACUCAAAGGAAUUGACGGGGGCCCGCACAAGCGGAGGAACAUGUGGUUUAAUUCGAUGAUACGCGAGGAACCUUACCUGGGCUUAAAUUGCAGUGGAAUAACGUGGAAACAUGUUAGCCUUCGGGCCGCUGUGA